AGUUUCAGCAGCAACGCUUUUCCCGGGUCGGCUUUAGCUCAAGCGGUUACUUCCUCACGCUGAACUUUCCUUACGUCUAGACCUUGCGCUGGGGUUCGAGACCCGUGGGUGCUUUCUGACCCUUUUGCGCAACUUUCACGUGUCCCGACUUCCAUACACUCAUUCACUUUGGAGACUUGGGUGGCGCUCUUCGUCCUUUUUAAAUUCUCUUAAACAAAUUUGGGUGUCUUUGAUGGCCUGACAGGCAGGGCGGAGGGUGCGCUCCUCGCCUGAGUUGGGCGAGUGCUAUGGGGCGGGCUGAUUGCCCUGGGCCGAGUUCAGACACCUGGGAACGGAACCGAACAGAGGCAGCGCGCAGCAGGAGCUACACCUUGGAGACUAUUUUCUUUGCGUACAGCGCCAUCCACGAGGACUUGCUUGGUCCGGGAGCCCCACCUGGCUGUGCUCGCCUCAGCUCUCAACCUAGCGGCCUGCUGUUCUGAAAGCCCCGAGACCCGCUGCGCCUACAGGCCGGUACUAUUAAUGGCUCUCACUGCCUCCAAGACAAUGUCUGAAUUCCUGUGCCUAAAACUCAAGAUUCUUCACCAUCUAGUUCUAACCUACCAGUUUACAGUGGUUAAUAGGCUGUGAGCUGAGUCCAAGCAGGAAAGUGACUCACAUGACCCCUGAAUCUCCACCACCUUGCCACUGGGAAUGGACAGACUGGACAGGACUAAGGCCUGGAGACCUGGGGUACCUGAAUCUGGGAUGAGCAGCUCAUCGAUGAAGUGGAUCACACCAUUCGUGGCCAAGAUGUCCUUGUUAGAGAUGAUGGCCUUCCCAUUGAUGGAGGCACCAAUAUUGCCAGUUGCCAGAACUCUCUGCAUGUAGACGAACACAACAUCAGCAGCACACAGUUAGGAAAACUAAAGACUUUCUCAUCUCCUGACCACACUAGCCUGUUAUGGGACAGUGACCACCAUCAGAGGUCUGAAAGACAGAGGUUCAGCCAACCUGAGAUUCUGGGGAAGCACAAAAGACUGGGAAUUUCAAAUAAUGUUUCAAGAAAAGGAGAGUUCGGACAGCCUGUUCCCAAGAAAGACUUGCUUUGAAGCCCAUUCUCCACAUUUAGCUGAAGUCGUGGAGCCAAAGGCAAACAGCCAUGUUCUCUCUGCCCUUAUUUUGUAUACGUGGAUCUGCCCUGUGAGAUAAAUGAGAAGUCAGACUUGAGCUGAAGUGAGUGUUACCAGACUUGCUCAUGCACGAUGUUUGAUGGCAUCACCAGCAGAGAGGUGGGCAGAACGAGAACUGUGGCUUUGGGGUGCUAGCAGGUGGUCUCAGUGCACAAGCGGCAUCUUGCUUCUGUGAAUUCAACUGGCAUCAACUCAAGCUGUGUGUGUCACGUGGUUAGAAAUGGGCUCCCAGGAAAGGAAUGACAGUUACGCACAUUCUUCUCUGCCUGCUCUCUCCUCCUGCUUCCUCUUCCCCUUUUCUCUUACCUUCCUCCCACAUUUUCUUUUUUAGCCUUGCAUCUCUGUACUUAUAACAGUUAAACAGGACUCGUGGUGGCCCAGACAGUUUCACCUUCAGAAACUAAAGUCAUCUUUGCAACUAAAGAAUUGGUUGAUAGAUGACUUGUAAAGGCAGCAUGGUGUAAGAGAAACAGUUCCAGAAUUGGGAGGCGUGCCUUGUGAUCCAUCAGUAACUAGCAAGGGGACUUUGAAAGUCCAUGUCUGUUUCUGGUCUCAGUUUCUUGAUCUAUAAAAUGGGGUGAAGUUAAACUAGAUGAUUUCUGAAUUUCUUCCCACAUCAUAUGGUUCUAGCCAGUGGGCUGGUAUCUAGGGAAAGAGAACCAUUCUCUCAAAGAAAGCCAGAGUGUGCCAACUUCUUCCAGCUAAGUCCGGGAAGAGCACCACACCUUGAGCCCAUAGCACUUGGGACGUCCAUGUGAGAUUCUAGGAUUUCUUUGAUAAAUACCAGGGUUCUGUGGCUGGAACUGGGGAGGUGGGAUUAGGCCAACACUCCCCAACCCCAAGCUUAGUUGUUUUUUUUUUUACAAGUGGCUGCAUGAAAUUCCAGAGCUGGGGAAACCCGUUGGAAAAAGUCUUAUCCACAAUAUCCUCAUCUCUGGGGUGCUCUGUGCACAUAGGUGCAGCAUACCAUAUUGCUUGGAACUCCCAGUCAACCAGUCAAAGAUUUGAUUUCCAAAAUGUUGGCUUCUGAGUUCCAUUCCAAAAAACCACAGGAGAGCGGAAUAGCUCAGUGGCCUCACCAGGAUUUCAGUGAGGCCAAAAGAAAACCAACUCCCCAAGUGUGAACCUUCUGGUUCCCACGGUGGUGAGCAUGUGCAUAGAAGUACAGAGACUAACACCAGGAGAAAGAGAGGACUCAGGGGCUGGGAAGGAAGGGAAAGACGGAAGUAAAACAGCCUUAGUGAGGUGAAGUGCGACUAGGAUGGAAUCAGAAAGCAAGCUGCAGGACUCUGAGGGGUGAUGGGGUCUCAAUAUCCUAGGUAGGGUCAGCCCUAAGACUCUUCUCAUAUUUCAUCAAGUCCAUCUCUUUUUUGUGCUGCUUUUGACUAUGUACACAUUGGGGAGAGCAGACUUUUGACAUAUAUCAUCUCUAGAAUGAUCCAGGCUAGCCCUCCUCAGCACUCUGUGCCCUCCAGGUAGGCUCUCUACACCCAUGUCUCACUGCAGCUAGACUGAGUCCUACUGUCUGUCACACAUGGAUGGCUUCUGCAGCAUGCCCCUCACAAUGGAGGAUCAGCCACUGAGGCUGCAAAACCUCCCCAGCCAAAGGCUUUAUCCUGGUUAGCUGACCACAGUUCUCUCCUAGGAAGCUUUUUCUUAGUCCUUGUCCUCUGCUGGCCUCUCCCUCUCUGCCCUCCUGCUGCCCAUGAGGGAAACUCUGCCUAAGCACAGCAGCCUUAUGGGUUGAGAUGGUUCCACAGCUGAUGGGUUCCCUGCUUCCAGCUGUCCAAACAAUGCCAGCCUUUAUCAGGACCAGCCUGCAUGGCCUUGCUGAAGCACAGGGCAGCUAGAGGUUGUAGACUGAGAAGAGAGCUCACUGAGAUGAUCUUGACCAGAACUUCCUGGACUGGCAGUCUCCACUGCAGUCUGCCCUACCCUCCCAGGGCCCAGGGUGCCACUCUGCAUGAGCUCUGGUUCUGGGGAGAACACAGAGUUUGGGGGAGAUGGGCUGGGGCUUGAGCACAGGGCCUGGGUUUGUUGCCAUCUAGGAUGAAUGCAGAAGGGAUGGAAGCCACAAGGAGCCUCCUGUCUGUGUUCCCCCAGUUGCUAGGUGUUUGUGCACAUAAAGGAUCGAUUUGUUGGUCUCUAAAUCUCAUCUCAUCAUCCAAAGCUUCUCUAAUUAAAUGCUCCUGGCUUCUCCUUGGCCAAAGUCAAAUAAAGAAAAACCUCAGGUCAGAAAAGCAUCCUCUCUAGGGAAAUGAACUAAAUAUCUUGUUCCAGCUUCUCAGUACAGGAGAAUGAUUUGAAGAAGAAAAUGAGGGAGUGUGCCUUAUUUAGAGGGGUAUUUAAAUUGAAGGAGGGAGGAGGGCAAACAGAUAGUGUCAGUGCCAGGUCUAAGUGCAGGGAUGUGUGGGGAGCAGGCCUCUACUCCCCCCUGACAUCUUUACUCAGGACUGGACAGAGAGAAGUAUUGGUAGUUCUCUCCCUAAAGUAAUUUUCCACAAGGUUAAUGCAAAGUUGACACAGUCCCUCUUUCAAGCGUGCUUUACAGGUUCAGCCAACUGUUCUGGCUGUAAAUGCUCAGGGGUUACUCAACCUGGGGAGGAGAGGGAGCAAGGAGGAGAGCCUGAGAGCCAGUCUCCUGUGACAGAAGGUAAAGCAUUCAGUGUGUCAUAGUUUCCAAGGGGAGUCACAGACCAAACGCAGACCCACGGCGUCUAGCUACUGGGCAGACUCCACAGACUGCCUGCCUGGGGCGAUUCUGGUUUUCUUUUCCUUGCUCCUGGCUUUGGGAAGGUGGCUGAACUGAUUCUUGAGGUCCCCAGUAGAAAAUCAGGGCUUGCUUUAGAUGACUGCCAGUAAAGCCCUGUGCCAGUGCCCCUACAGCAUACACCAGCCUGGGUGGUGAUCAAGAUGGAGACUUCAGGAAGUGGGAAUACGUUUUUGUGGGGACUGCUUGUAUGUGGUAUUUUAGGGUAUUUUGGGGACUCUAGGAUGUUGACCAAGUCCUCUCAGUUCCCAUACCCAUCAUCAGACGAGAGGUUUGGAGGGUCCUCCUCACUGCAGGGGAUCCUCACGACCACCACACUGGAGUGAGCUACUGUGAGAAGGUUGGUGACAGCGGGCCAAAGGGCUUCUCUGAUCCUAAACAGGUCUUGUCCCUGGGGCUCACAGCCACAAGUUUUGGGGCCACAGAGAGAGCCCCUCUCACUUGGGCAUCUCCUGUGUCAUGGACACUCAAUGCUGGUCUUGAUUCUUCCUGGGGGUGGCAAAGUGGAGUAGACAGAGUUCCCCCAGGAACCAGUGGAUGAUCAGGCUGGUCAUCCUGAUGGGCAGGAUGUGCAGGCUUGCUGAGCUUCAGUUCUCCCAUCUGAAAUGGGCUAAUAAUCACAUUCAGAUGAUAGCGUAACUAUGACAUGUGUGCGGCUUACAUACAAGAAGCACUAACAGAAGCCUGGUGUUUAUUAAAUGCUCAAUUAUCGAGAGUCUUCCAAAAAAUCCAAACAAUCGAAAGCAUGACAGUUCAGGUAGAAACUUUAAAUAGAAGCUAGGUUAGUCACUUCAUUGAAAGCCAUGUCCUUCAUGAGGCCAGUGAUUGAAUCACACUGUGAUAAAUAAAUCCCUCACAACACAUUAAUAGAACUCAAAAGAUAGGGCCUGUAUUCAUUUUCUAUAGUUUGAUGUAACAAAUUACUAUAAAUUUUAUGGUUUAAAACAAUAUAAAUUUAUUAUAUUAUAAUUCUAGAAGUCAGAGUCAGAAGUUUGCCUCAUGGGGCUAAAGUCAAAAGUUACAUUCCAUCCAGGGUUCAUAGGGAUCACCCAUUCCUUGCCUUUUCCGCCUCCUAGAGGCUGCUGCAUGCCUUGGCCUGUAGUCCCAUCAGUCCAAUUUAGUUUGCACUCUCACAUCCCUUCUCUGACUGCUCCCAUGGCCUCCCUCUUAUAAGGACCUUAUGAUUACACUGGACCCACCACAUAAUCCUAGACAAUCACCUUCUCACAAGAUCCUUAGCUUAGUCACAUCUGCAAAGUUCCUUUUUGUAUGUAAGGGGACAUAUUUGAAGUUUUGCAGAUUAGGGUGUAGGCAUCGUUAGGAGGAUGUUUUUCUACCUACCACAGGGCUUUUUGCUAUAUGCAUAUAAGUGCAUGUAAGUUCUCAGUAGAACAAAAUUCUAUGUGAGCUAAGCAGCCUCCUCGUUUGAAGAAUGGUCUAGAAUCUUCAGGAAGCACUGUCAAGAGAGGUGUUGGUGAAUCUCUGGUGUUUGAUACAUGUCUAGUCUCUAUUACUUUAGAGCAGAUUGUCUAUGGGGUCCCAGUAAAUACGAAACGGGGAAAGAGGUAUAGUGUGGAUCUCUGGGGACAGCCAACAUGGCCCUUCACUGUUCUCUUCUUUUUCCUCUUGGGUCCAAGAUUAUGGGAUACAGGAAAGGGAGGAGAAGGAGGGCUCUUCUUUAGCUUCCAAUCAGAUGUCUCUGAGUGCCCUGCCCAGAAUGACAUCUAUUGGAAACAGACCUGCCAAGUGGAAAAGCUUGACCAUGUCCCAGAUGCCUUCAGUAAAAGUUAAAUCUAUAAGCUUUAAUGCACUACUGAAGCAUUACUAUUUUGCCCCUAGGUAGAGCAACACUUGUUCCUACAGAAAUGGUAGUGUCCUGCCAGCUCAUCUUGGCUCCAGAGAACAGCUUUUGCACUUGGGAAAUGUGCUGCCCAUGAAACAAUUUCAAGAGUUGGAUGGACAGCCUUAUCCAUCCAACUUGUGAGCUUCCACACCAGCCACCCCUGUGCCGUGUUCAUGAUAGCUAAGCUCCUGUUAUGACUGUGACAUCCCAAUGAUGUCACCUCUGACCUGGCUGUUAACCAGACUCCUCUCUCCAGGGCUCACACAAAAGAGGCCUGUUGAGAGGCAGCCAGACUUCCUGACCACAAUUUCCUGCACCUUCUCUCAAGCUGCCACAUAUCAAAAUUUUAUGGUUGCCAAUCAAAGCUGGUCCUGAAAUCACAGAGUGGGGUGCCAUCUGCCUCCUCCAGACCUCUUUGUUUGAUUAGCUAUUGUAGCACACUGGUGCUCUUUAGGAUUUGAAAUGAAGCCUAAAGUGAAUUUUCAAGUAAUAAAAUUCAUCCAAGCCCUGAAACAGGGGUCCUCUGGUAACCACUUCCUACAAUAAAAUUCAUAAGUCCGCUUGACACAUGGAACCAGUCUCAGAUUCUCCUUCCUCUGGAAAUGUGGAGAAGCUAUUGCGGCACCAUAGAUUCACCUGAUAAGGACUGUGCCGACUGUGGCCAGUUCCCUGCUCCUCAGGAAGUGGACUCCAGGGCCUCAUAGUAACAGACAAGUGGCUGUAGGUCCUGUCUCACCAGGCCUGUCUUUCUGUUUUUAUGUGACCUCACACCACAAGGUCUUCACCCCAAAGAAGCUUAGUGGUUGCUAAGCUUCAAGUUCAAAUUUUCCUUCUGGUUUUAGGCCCUUCAGGACCUGUGCUGUCUGCUUCCCCACAAUGCUUUAUUUCCUUUUAUUCCAACACACACAUCUGCUAGAGCCUCUUCUCUGGAGUCUUGCUGAGAAAAUGCCCACUGCCCAUGCUGGCCCAGCUGAGACAAUCCUCUUUGCUUCAAACACCACCAUCCUCCCAUGCUCAGCCUGGUCUUCACCCAGCUCUAUGCAUCUAGAGACCUACUCUCCCGAGGAUGACACUGACGCCAGCCAGCACAGUCUCUCCCUGCCCUACCCUUCCAGCUGCAUAAAACAGUUCAUUCUGGCCAUAUGGUAGUCAGAUGGCAGCCCCUUCAGGGAUUUCUGUCUCAGGUAUACAAAUGUACCACAAAGCUGCCUCUGGCUCUGGGGGACAGCAGAUAUGCGUUCAACUUCUCUUUCUCUUUGUGUUCUCUUCCAAAGUUAGCCCCACCUUCUGACACUGCAUGUGAUGUUCCAGGAAGAGCCACUCUUGUCCUGGAUCAUGAAGUUUUAUAUCAAUUCACAUUUUUCUAUCCUCAAUUCCUCUUUUUUGAAAGUGCCCCAAACAAUGGCCACAAUUGAGAGUUGAAGAGUAUCUUUUCCUUUUGGCUUUGCAAGAGUGGGUCAAUAGCUGGCACUGGAUACUGAGCUUUGCCUGACUCAACUCUAAAUCUCACUUCCCCACCACACCCCCCUACACAUCUUCCUUUCCCUGGAAUAUUUUGUCAACACAGCUCUAUUGCUUGUGCCUUGUGCACAUGGAGAAAGAUGCAAGAGACAAUGAGCCAACGUGACGCAUCAUCAACCACAGUGUCCACCUGGGAGCUGCUGAAGAAUGUCAUCAGCUACUGUUAACUCCUUGGGCAAACACUUCAACACGGGGCACCUGAAGCAGCAUGGCAGAUAGCACCCUGUAGUUACUUUGACGUCACAAGUAGGCCCCAUUUUUGGAGAAAUUUGAAUUAACCAAAUGGUGACGCUCUUUGAAAUCCAGGGCUCUGAGAAGCAAAAGAGCUGUUUGCUUGGCACAGGCACUUUGGUCAGUUUCCAAGAGGCUAAGGACCCGAAGCUGUCAUUCAUUCAGUUUGAGAACCUAUGACUUCAACAUUUGGUACAGAAGAAACAAGUUGGGCAUGGUGGCACACGAUGUAAUCUCAGCAAAA